rnacentral:lncRNA from 1 species
GAGAUCAGGGCCAGACUGUGAUAGUUGUAAGCUAGGACAAGCUUGGUGCUAUCUCUUUUUGUUUCUUUGUUAUUGACAAGUCAUGGAUAAUUUCUGAAUACUGAAAAGUUAGUCUGGUGUGUCAGACUAUGAGAAUCAUAAGUCGAGAUGUUGAAUUCUGUGUGAUGAAUUGAGAAAUUGAAUACAAUAGGUAAGCUGAAGAUCAGUAAUUGAAUAUAUAUAAACUGCAAAGAGAGUAAGUGGGAGAUGAAUGGAUAAGAAUAUGGAAGUAUUGUUGAAUUGAUAGUCAUAGAAUGGAUUUUGUAUUGAAUUAAGAUGGAAGUAGUAAGCCUUGGUGUUUUGUAGUUUGAUAAUUGAUUAU